rnacentral:lncRNA from 1 species
CCUCCUUGAAGCAGAAUGAUUCUUCACCAUCCUCAUGCCCACCCCCAUUCCCUGCCUCUCUUUACACCAUUUGUAAUAACAUUAACCAAAAAAAGAGGGACUAGAACCUGUCUUUUGACUUAAGUCCCAGAACUCUUAGGAAACUAGAAAAUGAGAAUUCAUUCACUGAGGAAAGACCACAAUUCAGAUGGCUGAGCAAUUCACUGGACUUAUUGACUCUGAUAGUUUCUCACUUUUUCUUGGCCUAAAUACAUUCUGUGCUCUUAAAAAACAGGAUCCCUAGAGAAAGAAGAGGUUAUAGGGACAAAUGGAGACUAACUCUGAGCUAUUCAAGUUCAGUGCCUGUACUGUGUUGAAUAUACAGUUCGAAAGGUAAUUGGGAGAAGGACACCACAUCGCCCUGUAGCUCUGCAAGCCCAGCACAAGUCUAAUGAGUGAUCAGAGGCUUAAGCCCAGAUUGCUUAAGAAUGCCUGUAGGGGCAUAGUCACCAAAGUUCGACUCUCCGACAGAACAGCUUGCUGCGGCUCUAAUGGUGCCACUUUGUAGUUUUGUACCAAUAUGAAAUGCUACCUAAAGUAAAUACCAGUAAUAAUAAUGGUGAUGAUGAUGAUGAUCAGAAGACAACAAGGAUUUUAUUCCGGUACCUCACUAAGGACCAUUUAAUAAGGUUUGUGUAAGAAAUGACACAAUAGUGUCUGAAAGAGUAAGUGAAUGCCAAGCUUAAGAGUUUAAUCUCCUCUUCCCUAGAGGAUAGAGUGGGAUGGGGAACAGGAGAAUCAUAUUUUCUUUGUUGUUUAAUUUUAUAAAUCAUAUAAAAUAUUCUACUCUAAGCGUGUAUGUGUGUGUAAAGUUAUAAAAUGCUUUACAUUUACUUUAUGGCUCAUUUGAGUCUCACAAUAUCCCUAUGAGACAUAUACUACCGGUA